AUGGGGGUCAAUUUUACACAGGGCUCUGGUACACCCCUUUGUUAUUGUUUGUUGGCUCAUGUGCAGAUUUGGAUCCAGCAGAAUCUCACUGAUCGGUGCGGACUAUCGCAAUACAAGCUGAGAAAUGGUGCAGCCAGUUUACUCAAAGGAAAUAAUCAGGUGUUCUCCUUGUCACGUCUGGCUCACCUCUCCGAGGGGCUGGCUCAACUGGAUAAAGGUGUGAGCAUUGCAGUCAUCAACUUCCAAAAUGGACGCCAUGUUGCCACAUCGGUAACAAUAGUUUGGAGCACUGAAUAUGGUAACAACUUUUUCUUACAUGAGCCCAGUUAUAUCCCUCCAUGA
rnacentral:rRNA from 1 species